rnacentral:rRNA from 1 species
CCUACGUGAGGCAGCAGUGGGGAAUAUUGGACAAUGGGGGCAACCCUGAUCCAGCCAUGCCGCGUGGGUGAAGAAGGCCCUCGGGUUGUAAAGCACUUUCAGUGAGGAAGAACGCCUGGUGGUUAAUACCCAUCAGGAAAGACAUCACUCACAGAAGAAGCACCGGCUAACUCCGUGCCAGCAGCCGCGGUAAUACGGAGGGUGCGAGCGUUAAUCGGAAUUACUGGGCGUAAAGCGCGCGUAGGUGGCUUGAUAAGCCGGUUGUGAAAGCCCCGGGCUCAACCUGGGAACGGCAUCCGGAACUGUCAAGCUAGAGUGCAGGAGAGGAAGGUAGAAUUCCCGGUGUAGCGGUGAAAUGCGUAGAGAUCGGGAGGAAUACCAGUGGCGAAGGCGGCCUUCUGGACUGACACUGACACUGAGGUGCGAAAGCGUGGGUAGCAAACAGGAUUAGAUACCCUAGUAGUC